rnacentral:rRNA from 1 species
UCCGCAGGCGGGCCAGUAAGUCAGGGUGAAAGUUUGCGGCUUAACCGUAAAAUUGCCUUUGAUACUGCUGGUCUUGAGUUGCGGUGAAGUGGCUGGAAUAUGUGGUGUAGCGGUGAAAUGCAUAGAUAUCACAUAGAACACCGAUUGCGAAGGCAGGUCACUAACCGCCGACUGACGCUGAUGGACGAAAGCGUGGGAGCGAACG